rnacentral:rRNA from 1 species
CCUACGGGUGGCAGCAGUGGGGAAUAUUGCGCAAUGGGCGAAAGCCUGACGCAGCGACGCCGCGUGAGGGAUGAAGGUCUUCGGAUCGUAAACCUCUGUCAGCAGGGAAGAACGGUCACUGUGCUAAUCAGCAGUGAAUUGACGGUACCUGCAAAGGAAGCACCGACUAACUCCGUGCCAGCAGCCGCGGUAAUACGGAGGGUGCGAGCGUUAAUCGGAAUUACUGGGCGUAAAGCGCUCGUAGGCGGUAUGUCAAGUCAAGGGUGAAAUCCCCGCGCUCAACGGGGGAACUGCCUUUGAAACUGGCAAACUGGAGUGUGUAAGAGGAUAGUGGAAUUCGAGGUGUAGCGGUGAAAUGCGUAGAUAUCAGGAGGAACAUCAGUGGCGAAGGCGACUAUCUGGCACAUAACUGACGCUGAGGAGCGAAAGCGUGGGUAGCAAACAGGAUUAGAUACCCCAGUAGUC